UGUCUGGUAGAGGUUUUACAUAUAGAUCGCGUUUCUGUCUUUCUUCUGACUAAUAAAUAAUUUUGGUUUAAUCAGUUAUCAAGAUGUUUUCAACAAUAUUCUUUCAGCGUUCGUCUUUUCCAACACGGGCGACCCUUUUGAAAACGCGAUACUUGGGCUAACCCAUCCUAUACUUGGGUCAGUUUCCAUUAUGGUUCGGAACAUCCACAUCAACAGAGCGGCCAUUUUGUGGUCCGUGGCCCGCGCAGUCAGCGAGAGGACAAACGCUUCAUGCAAUCAUGCAAAUAUCAUGAUUUUGAUGCUGCAAACCAGAGAUGCAUAGCUGUGGAAGACACGUCUGAAGUGGAAACUUAAAACGAAGCUUCAGAUAUGAAGCAAAGAAUGCCAAGAAUAACAAAUAUAAGAGAUUCCAGAUCGUUCCAGAUUUCCAAAGUACUGAAACGCACACCAUACAGGCUUGGUGGAUCUCGGUGCAAGCUCCUACGGUCACCAGAAGAAUAAUACAUGCAGUGCCAGAAACCAGUGGCAUUGAAUAAUACCUGCAGUGUCAGGACCCAGUGGUAUUGAAUAAUACCUGCAGUGUCAGCAUCCACACACAGUGUCAGAUAUACUGCAUACAUGUUGUCAGCAGUAUUAUAAAACACAUUAUGGUGUAAGAAAUACUACAUGUAGAUGGGUAAGACUGUCUUCAGCACACUCGUGUGAAUGACUACAUGUAUUAUCAAUAUGUCAUGCAUUAUUAACAUCUCAUGUACUAUGGUAACAAAGGAAAUGUGUAUUUAAAUUAAAUUUGGUGUAUCAUUAAUUUUAAAAUCUCAGUAUUUAUUAAUUCAUUGUGUAUGUGGUACAGUAUUGUUUUUAAUACUAUUGUUUGGCAAGAAAACAUUUUAAGAUUUUCAUAUUAAUUAUUUUUAUUAUCAGGUUCUAAUAUAAAAAAGUUUAAUAUAUAUUUUAAGUUUUAAAACAUUACAUACUGUUUCUCCUAUGUGAGCCAUUGUAAAUGUUGAGAAAGCAUUUAAAAUAAAUAAUCUUUAUACUGUAUAGUAAUUAUGAAUUUUUUCUUAGGUAAUUUGCUCUUAAGCUCAAAAGGCUCUCCAAAUAAGAUAAAAUAUCAGUGUUCUUAAUGCUCAGAAUUUAUUUAUUUACAUAUUUACAUGAAUGUAUAGGGGAUUUAAAAAUAACAAUGUGCAUGGUACAUUGGAUCAGUAAGUUCUUGUAAAAAUCACAUACAUAUAUGUUUGCAAAUAACAAACCACAUGAGGGUCCACUGUACCUGACUCUUGUGCUGUGGUUAUAUUUAUAAUAAGACAUCCAUCAGUUCUGUGGUUAUGUUUAUAAUUAAACAUCCCAAAUUCUGUGGUCAUAUUUGUAAUAAGGUUCUGUAGUGAAACAUCUUAAUACUGUGGCUGUAUUUAUAAUAAACCAUCCCUCUCUGCUGUUGCUAUAUGUACAGUAUGAUAAAACAGUAUAAUUAUAAAUAAAUUUAUAAUAUAUUUAAUUUUCCUAUGCAAAGACAUUUUGCUAAAUCUUAAAAAAAAAAAAAAUGCCACAGGAUUUGUUUGUAAUGUUUACAAAGUUAUACACGGACACUAACUUUCCUGCUGGUGAACGCAUGUGGAGACGUAGAUUUGUAUGUUUGCUUUUACACUUGCUGAUUCACAGGAAAUAUUGUAGAGUAUAUUUUAUGUCUAGCACAUUUUAUAAUAUAAUAAGCACAAUAUUAUCUCACUAUUUAUGAAUAAUAUCAGUGGUUUACAUAUUGUAACUUUUUUCCAUUCUCUUGUGUCUUUGACAAGUAAUUAAAUUACUUUAUAUUCCUACAAAAGUUAAUUAGAUUAUUCCAAUUGCUUAUCUGAUAUUGAGUGCCAUCUGUUGACAACAGAGUUAACACUAUAACCUGUGUGCUCUAUUCUGGUUACUCUAUACUGAUUGCUAUGUAGUUACUUGAAUUAUUUAUGUAUCCGACAGUCCAAGUGUUUUUGGCAUCUCUUAACAAUAUUUGCUUUAGUAAUAAAUAAAAGCUCAUGCAUUUAAAAUUAAAUAAAAAAUAUAUUACUAAGAUUUAUAAAGAACACAACAAUUUAUAACGGAGACAAAUACUAAUAAUAAUUGUCUACAAGAAUUAACUAAUGAAAUGUAGAAUAUUUCAUUAGAUAAUACUUGCUUUUUGGAUCAAAUAGCUGUAAAGGUUUAUACAAUCAAGAAAACUGUACAAAUAUUUAUUCAAAAGAAAAAUGUCAUCAGUGUUGAAUGCUCAAAAUUAUAUUAUGAAAACAUCUCGCAUAAUAGCAUACAAAACAUUUAGAGAAAAAAAGUAAAUACAUUGUCUAAACUACUUUCAAAAUAUCAAAAUUUAUAUAAGUGACCAUUCAGGAGAAAAGUCAUGUCACUGUAGAAUGUGUCUGAAAGACUUUAAAAAUAAAUUAUGGCUAAUAACACACACACAAGGAUUCAUACAGGAGAGAAACCAUAUCACUGUUCAAUAUGUCAAAAAAACUUUUCACAAAAAUCAUCUCUAAUAAGGCACAUGAGGAUUCAUACAGGAGAGAAACCAUAUCACUGUUCAGCAUGUCAAAAAGACUUUUCACUUAAAUCAAAUCUAAUAACACACAAGAGGAUUCAUACAGGAGAGAAUGCAUAUCACUGUUCAGUGUGUCAAAAAGACUUUACUCGAAAAUCAAAU